rnacentral:rRNA from 1 species
GGGGAAUAUUGGACAAUGGGCGCAAGCCUGAUCCAGCAAUGCCGCGUGGGUGAAGAAGGCCUGCGGGUUGUAAAGCCCUUUAAGUGGGGAGGAACGGCGGGAUGCGAACAGUGUUCUGCUCUGACGUUACCCACAGAAUAAGCACCGGCUAACUCCGUGCCAGCAGCCGCGGUAAUACGGGGGGUGCAAGCGUUAAUCGGAAUUACUGGGCGUAAAGCGUGCGUAGGCGGUUUGGUCAGUCAGCCGUGAAAGCCCUGGGCUUAACCUGGGAACGGCGGUUGAGACGGCCAGACUCGAGUGGGCUAGAGGAUCGUGGAAUUCCCGGUGUAGCGGUGAAAUGCGUAGAGAUCGGGAGGAACACCGAUGGCGAAGGCAGCGGUCUGGGGCCACACUGACGCUGAGGCACGAAAGCGUGGGGAGCAAAC